rfam:Stegodyphus mimosarum contig32660, whole genome shotgun sequence.
GCCUUCGUGAUGUAAUGGUUAAACAUACUCGGCUCGUAUUCGAGAGGUCCGUGGUUCUAGUCCCGGCAAGGGCA